UUCCACAUACCCGCGCCAGCUAUCCUGGAAACACUCGCACAUAAGACGCAGCAAAGUUUGUGAGGAAGUUGUUGUACACGUCACUUUAGUCCCCGCUGACAUUCUCCCUUAAAGGUCAUUCCCGUUUUCUGUUGGGUCUUAACUGCUCUUUGUUUUGUUUUGUUUUUUGUUGUUGUUUUUUAUCCCGCGCGCGCCAGAAUUACAUAACAUAACCGAGAUUAGUUUUUUUUCUUUCCUUUCUUUCCUUCUCUCUCCCUCUCUCUCUUUUAGAAAUGCUCGGAUCACGUGACUAUUCGAUGUAUUAUUAUAGGGACGGUUUUCACAUCUCGUUUUCUUUGCUUAAUUUCCUGUUCUUGGUGUUUUCUCUCCUUUUGAUAUAAUUUUCUUUCUUUUUCCUUCCUUCUCUCUCCCUCUCUCUCUUUUAGAAAUGCUCGGAUCACGUGACUAUUCGAUGUAUAUAUAGGGACGGUUUUCACAUCUCGUUUUCUUUAUUUAAUUUCCUGUUCUUGGUGUUUUCUCUCCUUUUUUUAUAAUUUUCUUUCUUUUUCCUUCCUUCUCUCUCUCUCCCUCUCUCUUUUAGUAAUGCCCGGAUCACGUGACUACUCGAUGUAUAUAUAGGAACGGUUUUUACAUCUCGUUUUCUUUGCUUAAUUUCCUGUUCUUGGUGUUUUCUCUCCUUUUAAUAUAAUUUUCUUUCUCUUUCUUUCUUUCCUUCUCUCUCCCUCUCUCUCUUUUAGUAACGCCCGGAUCACGUAACUACUCGAUGUAUUAUAUAGGAACGGUUUUCACAUCUCGUUUUCUUUGUUCUUGGCGUUUUCUCUCCUUUUUGGUAUAAUUUUCUUGCCAUAUUUUCUCCUCUUUCUAUCUAUGGAGACUUCUAAUGCAGGAUGAGGAAAAGGAGAAGAGGAAGAGGAAGCUUUGCAUGGAACAUUUUUUCGAAUAUUUCCUUCUCCCAUUUCUAUAUCAAGGAAAAUGGGAAUGGGAAAGGAAAAUGGGAAAAUGGGAGGAAAUUGGGAAAGGAAAAUGGAAAUAAAAUGGGGAAGAUGGGAAAAUGGGAAAGGAAAAUGGAAAAGAAAAAUGAGGAAAAAGGGAAACGAUUUAUCCAUUUUCUUUUUUCCCUUCUCUUUUCUUUCUUUCCUUCCACAGUUACGCUAGAGAAGACUUUACAGAGGAACACUACUUGGCAAUACUUCCUCUUCUCUUUACUAAUUCAAGACCUUCUGAGAAUCACGUAUCAUUGCGUUUCGUAGGAGCAUAACAACGGCUUCGUAAUACCGGUAAUACCCUUCGAUCACAUACGUCUUCGCGUGUCCUUGUAAGGUGAUUGGGGCCCCGAGGAACACCCGCAGCCCGAGCCAAGGUCAUCUCGAGCGCAAAACCCAAGAUCAACAGAACAUUCUCUUGAUCUUGGCAAAACCCUCGCUCGCCCUUUCUGCCUCCGAUGAUCCAGCCUGACGCGUUUCACAGAUCAACCAUGACAUUUAUUCUUUGAGGGCACAGGAAGGAGAAUUGAGAGCAGUGUGUCAGCGCAGGAUGUGGGUUGUCUAUUGCGUGUUGGGGAGACUGUGAAGAAGGUGCAGAGGUUAGAAAUGGAACAGAAGAAGGGAUAGAAGGGGUAGGCCUGCUCCACUAUUCCCAGUAAAACCAGUCUCAGUAUACCCACGUCAGACAAGGCAGGUUAGAAAUGGAACAGAAGAAGGGAUAGAAGGGGUAGGCCUGCUCCACUAUUCCCAGUAAAACCAGUCUCAGUAUACCCACAUCAGACAAGGCAGGUUAGAAGUGGAACAGAAGAAGGGAUAGAAGGGGUAGGCCUGCUCCACUAUUCCCAGUAAAACCAGUCUCAGUAUACCCACAUCAGACAAGGCAGGUUCGUGUGGAGAGGCAAGGAGGUGGAGAGGUUAGAAAUGGAACAGGAGCAGGGAUAGAAGGGAUAGGCCUGUUCCACUAUUCCCAGUAAAACUUCACCGACUCCAUCUACCCAAAUCAGGCAAGGUAAGUUCGUGUAGAGGUAAGGAGGAGGUAGAGAGGUUACAUAAGGCACAGCAGAAGGUAUUGAGCUGUUUCACUAUUCCCAGUAAGCCUUAGAGAGACACAAGGAAUUAACAAAGAAAGAACAGAGAUGUAGGAAGUGAAAAAAGGCGAAGAUAAAGAAAAGGGAGAGAAGGAACGAUCGAGACUGUAAGAAAAGGGAGAGGGAAGAAGGGAAAGAGGAAGGAAGGGUUAAGAAGAGAGUGAAGAAGGGAGAGGAAAGAAGGGAAGAGGAAGGAAGGGUGAAGAGUUGAGUGAAGAAGGGAGAGGGAAGAAGGGAAAGAGGAAGGGAGGGUUAAGAAUAGCGAAGAAGGGAGAGGAAAGAAGGGAAAGAGGAAGGAAGGAUUAAGAAUAGUGUGAAGAAGAAGGAGGAAAGAAAAAGAGGAAGGGGAAGAGGAAGGAACCACCUCUCCACCCCUAUCAGACAAGGCAGGUUCAUGUGGAGAGGUGGAGGGGUAAGGAAGUGGAGGUUACAGAAGACAGAGAAGGGAUGUAGCUGUUCCACUCUUCCCAGUAAUCCCUUAACCACCUCCAUCCACUCCCAUCAGACAAGGCAAUUUCAUGUGGAGGGGUAUGGAAGUGGAGAGGUUACAGAAGACAGAGAAGGGAUGUAGCUGUU